rnacentral:tRNA from 1 species
GUUGUCGUGGCCGAGUGUUUAAUGCGAAAGAAUAGAAAUCUUUAAGGAUCUUCCCGCGCAGGUUCGAAUCCUGCCGACAACC